rnacentral:rRNA from 1 species
CCCUUAGAUGUCCUGGGCCGCACGCGCGCUACACUGACAUGUUCAACAAGCCUCCUAGUUCGACAGGAUUUGGGAAAUCUUUGAACGCAUGUCGUGAUAGGGAUAGAUCAUUGCAAUUAUUGAUCUUGAACGAGGAAUUCCUAGUAAACGCGAGUCAUCAGCUCGCAUUGAUUACGUCCCUGCCCUUUGUACACACCGCCCGUCGCACCUACCGAUUGAAUGUUUCGGUGAAGAUUCCGGAUAGGACUGAUUUGAUUUAUUUCAUUUCUGACCUAAAAGCUAUCUAAACCUCAACAUUUAGAGGAAGGUGAAGUCGUAACA